rnacentral:rRNA from 1 species
UACGGAGGAUCCGAGCGUUAUCCGGAAUUAUUGGGUUUAAAGGGUGCGUAGGCGGCCAUUUAAGUCAGCGGUGAAAUUUUGCAGCUUAACUGUAACAGUGCCGUUGAUACUGUUUGGCUAGGAUUUGGUUGUAGUGUGCGGAAUGUGUGGUGUAGCGGUGAAAUGCUUAGAGAUCACACAGAAUAUCGAUUGCGAAGGCAGCUCACAAAGCCAAGAUUGACGCUGAGGCACGAAAGCGUGGGGAGCGAACAGGAUUA